rnacentral:rRNA from 1 species
UUACGGUCAAAUCACGCUGAAACACCGGUUCUCGUACGAUCACCGGAGUUAAGCAGCGUAGAGCCAGGUCAGUACUUAGAUGGGGGACCGCUUGGGAACACCUGGUACUGUAAG